rnacentral:rRNA from 1 species
GACGUAGGGCGCGAGCGUUGUCCGGAUUUAUUGGGCGUAAAGAGCUCGUAGGCGGCUUGUCGCGUCGUUCGUGAAAACCCGGGGCUCAACUCCGGGCUUGCGGGCGAUACGGGCAGGCUAGAGUUCGGUAGGGGAGACUGGAAUUCCUGGUGUAGCGGUGGAAUGCGCAGAUAUCAGGAGGAACACCCGUGGCGAAGGCGGCUUUCUGGGACGGUACUGACGCUGAGACGCGAAAGCGUGGGGAGCGAACAGG